GGUACGCUCUCUUGGCGAACGUUCUUUCCGAUCGUUAUAUUUUCGAGGCUUUAUCGCGGCCUCUCUCGCUAUGGUGUAAAUUACGGAAACGUCACCCAGCGAAAAACGAAAACAAAUAACAACGACGGAAUAAAAAAUGUAGUCAAAACGAUGGGGGGACCCCGUCCAAAAGUUUCUGGCUUUCGAGUAAACUACGGACGGGGUCGCGGUUUCUCGUCGAACGGUCAACCGGCGACAUUUUGAAACGACAGGAAAGAUUUUUCUCGAUAUUUCUCAAUGUACUUCCAUUUAAUAAUCGUGUGUUUAACCGUAACCAAUGAAUCGGAGAUACGGACGCCGUUGAAGCGUAUUUCGAUGACAAAUACUAUAUCAUCGCGUUUAAACUUCUCGCUAUCUACAUAUUUGCCGUAAAACACGUGUCUUACACUUACACGCAUUAUCGAAAACUUGUUAUAAUUAACAUUCGGGGUACGUCUUUGUCUUGAUGCCUUUGGCAUACUCGAUACGUAUACGGCAUUCUUUCUCCAAUCGUUGAAACCCCGCUUCUUUCAAAGGGGAAAAGGUUAAAUUUAUGAAAAACAUCGUAUUACAAAUAAUGUGCGCGUAUCGUCUCGUACUUUUUAGCCGGUUCCUUUCUUUUCCUCUUCAUUUUUUUUAUUACUGGUGAGACCUCUUUUUUCCAACUUUAUAAUUUCGCAAAUCGCUCAAAGCCGUCGAACAACGAUAAUCGAGAAAAUGCCGGCGGACAAGUACGACAGAGCGGAUCCAGAGCUGAAGGCUGAGCUCAAGCAAAUCGCUGAACAAAUAGUAGCACCGGGAAAAGGAAUUCUCGCUGCUGAUGAAUCAACUGCGACGAUCGGUAAACGUCUUCAGGACAUCAACGUCGAGAACAACGAAGCGAAUCGCAAAGCUUACCGACAACUUCUCUUCACCGCGAACAAGGAAGCUAUCAGCAGUCACAUUUCCGGUGUGAUUCUAUUCCAUGAGACCCUUUACCAGAGCGCGGAUGAUGGAACGCCGUUCGUUCAACUGAUGAAAGAGCGUGGAAUUCUGCCAGGAAUUAAAGUCGAUAAGGGUGUCGUGCCACUUUUCGGUACCGACGAUGAAUGCACCACUCAGGGUCUGGAUGACCUUCAGGCUCGUUGCAUCCAGUAUAAGAAAGACGGUUGUCAAUUCGCCAAGUGGAGAUGCGUUCUCAAGAUCAAAAAGGAUUGCCCGAGCAAACUCGCGAUCCUCGAAAACGCUAAUGUACUCGCUCGUUACGCUUCGAUUUGCCAGAGCGCAAGAAUCGUACCGAUUGUCGAACCUGAAAUCCUCCCCGAUGGUGACCACGAUCUUGCACGUUGCCAACAAGUCACCGAGGAAGUUCUCGCUGCUGUCUAUAAGGCACUGUCCGAUCAUCACGUUUACCUCGAGGGCACACUUUUGAAACCGAAUAUGGUAACACCCGGACAAAGUUGCCCGAAGAAGGCCUCGCCUAUGGAAAUUGCAGCGGCAACCGUGACCGCUUUGAGUCGUACUGUACCACCUGCAGUCACCGGUAUAACUUUCCUUAGUGGGGGACAAUCCGAGGAAGAGGCAUCGGUAAACUUGGACGCAAUCAACAAGUUCCCUGGCAAAAAACCUUGGGCCUUGACCUUCAGUUACGGUCGUGCUCUUCAAGCAUCUGUCCUCCGAGCAUGGGGUGGAAAACCAGAUCAAAUCGCGGCUGGACAGGCUGAACUUAUCAAACGCGCCAAGGCGAACGGUGCUGCAUGCCAAGGCAAGUACGUCGCUGGCAGCAUAUCAAGCAAGGCUGCAGACGCUUCUCUUUUCGUCAAAGCUCAUGCGUACUGAAAAACGAAAACAAAAAACAUCCUCGAUUCACCUCGCGUGUUUAUGUGAAAAACGCACUAGAGCUUUUUUAGCCAACAGCGAAUCUGCCCUUGGAAAAUACGCGGGUGGUGUUACUGGUGCAGCCGGAGACGCAGCAUUGUUCGUUGCGAAUCACGCUUAUUAAAUCGUUGAGGAAUCGGGAUGAAACAUUGAAGAGGCGGAGGACAGAGAAAAUGAACGGAAAAUAAGAUGAAGAAAUUAUACGAUAAUAAAAAGAAAAAAUAUCAACCAUAGAGGAUUUGCACGGCCUCCCUGAAAAGUAGUCGACGUCUGGAUUCGAGAGAAUCAUUUAAGGCCAUAGAAGCCAGUCAUUAAUGCACGAACAAGAGAAAAAAUAUGAGGAAGCAUGAAAAGAAGAAUGAAAGACAAAAGCACAACGACGGAUCAAAAGAAAACAUUAAUUCCGACCUUUUUUUAUAAUGUAAACAAUAUGCACGAGAUUUUGAUGAGCCGUAAAAACAGUCGAUACAAAACGGAGAACAAAAUACAGCAUGAUUUUAUCUUUAUUCUCAAAAUGUAAAGAAUAUUUUAUUAAUUCCAAACCACCGAUACCGUUUGUUAGUCAGGAAUUUGAGUAUAAAUUGCGAUUUCGAGAUCAACGAAUUUCCUCAGGAAAUCUAUAGGACCGAGGGAAAAACUAUACUCUAAAUCUCGCGUCUUGUAUGAAGUACGAGAAUGCGAUGACGUCAUCUCUUCAUCGGAGAAUAAUUACCAAUGCGACUCACAAAUAAACGGUAUUUGUGGUUCCCGAUUGACUAGAAAUUUGGUGUAUCAAAAAAUUUUAAAAAUGCUGCUGUACGAAACUACCAUUGAGAAGUCAAAUGAAACUUCAAAAAACAUAUUACGAAAAAAGCCGAUAUAUUAUGUAUACAUCAUUAUUGUCAAUGUCGUUAUGCUGUUCUACGUGUAUAAAAUGAAAACCAGAAAAAAAAAUAUAAAAGUAAAGUCAUAUAUAAAUGUAAAUUUGUCUGUUAGAAGGUCGGUCGAGUACCACCAAGCUACAUAUACGAAAUACGAUCUACUAUACGUAUGUGUGCAUCUUGCAUAGAUAUUCUAAUUAUUAACAUAUAUUGAACGAAAACAAAUUAAAAGUAUAUAUAUAUGUAUCUCGUACAUUGAUGUAACGUCUAAUAUUUUCAUUGUAAUCUAGGUCACCAAAAAUACACUGUGGAGGGUACAAUAAA